rnacentral:rRNA from 1 species
GCAAGUCGAACGAACUUCCGUUAAUUGAUUAUGACGUACUUGUACUGAUUGAGAUUUUAACACGAAGUGAGUGGCGAACGGGUGAGUAACACGUGGGUAACCUGCCCAGAAGUAGGGGAUAACACCUGGAAACAGAUGCUAAUACCGUAUAACAGAGAAAACCGCAUGGUUUUCUUUUAAAAGAUGGCUCUGCUAUCACUUCUGGAUGGACCCGCGGCGUAUUAGCUAGUUGGUGAGGUAAAGGCUCACCAAGGCAGUGAUACGUAGCCGACCUGAGAGGGUAAUCGGCCACAUUGGGACUGAGACACGGCCCAGACUCCUACGGGAGGCAGCAGUAGGGAAUCUUCCACAAUGGACGCAAGUCUGAUGGAGCAACGCCGCGUGAGUGAAGAAGGGUUUCGGCUCGUAAAGCUCUGUUGUUAAAGAAGAACGUGGGUAAGAGUAACUGUUUACCCAGUGACGGUAUUUAACCAGAAAGCCACGGCUAACUACGUGCCAGCAGCCGCGGUAAUACGUAGGUGGCAAGCGUUAUCCGGAUUUAUUGGGCGUAAAGCGAGCGCAGGCGGUCUUUUAAGUCUAAUGUGAAAGCCUUCGGCUCAACCGAAGAAGUGCAUUGGAAACUGGGAGACUUGAGUGCAGAAGAGGACAGUGGAACUCCAUGUGUAGCGGUGAAAUGCGUAGAUAUAUGGAAGAACACCAGUGGCGAAGGCGGCUGUCUGGUCUGCAACUGACGCUGAGGCUCGAAAGCAUGGGUAGCGAACAGGAUUAGAUACCCUGGUAGUCCAUGCCGUAAACGAUGAUUACUAAGUGUUGGAGGGUUUCCGCCCUUCAGUGCUGCAGCUAACGCAUUAAGUAAUCCGCCUGGGGAGUACGACCGCAAGGUUGAAACUCAAAAGAAUUGACGGGGGCCCGCACAAGCGGUGGAGCAUGUGGUUUAAUUCGAAGCUACGCGAAGAACCUUACCAGGUCUUGACAUCUUCUGACAGUCUAAGAGAUUAGAGGUUCCCUUCGGGGACAGAAUGACAGGUGGUGCAUGGUUGUCGUCAGCUCGUGUCGUGAGAUGUUGGGUUAAGUCCCGCAACGAGCGCAACCCUUAUUACUAGUUGCCAGCAUUAAGUUGGGCACUCUAGUGAGACUGCCGGUGACAAACCGGAGGAAGGUGGGGACGACGUCAAAUCAUCAUGCCCCUUAUGACCUGGGCUACACACGUGCUACAAUGGAUGGUACAACGAGUCGCGAGACCGCGAGGUUAAGCUAAUCUCUUAAAACCAUUCUCAGUUCGGACUGUAGGCUGCAACUCGCCUACACGAAGUCGGAAUCGCUAGUAAUCGCGGAUCAGCAUGCCGCGGUGAAUACGUUCCCGGGCCUUGUACACACCGCCCGUCACACCAUGAGAGUUUGUAACACCCAAAGCCGGUGGGGUAACC